rnacentral:rRNA from 1 species
AGCGAACGCUGGCGGCAGGCUUAACACAUGCAAGUCGAGCGGGCAUAGCAAUAUGUCAGCGGCAGACGGGUGAGUAACGCGUGGGAACGUACCUUUUGGUUCGGGACAACUGAGGGAAACUUCAGCUAAUACCGGAUAAGCCCUUACGGGGAAAGAUUUAUCGCCGAAAGAUCGGCCCGCGUCUGAUUAGCUAGUUGGUGAGGUAAUGGCUCACCAAGGCGACGAUCAGUAGCUGGUCUGAGAGGAUGAUCAGCCACAUUGGGACUGAGACACGGCCCAAACUCCUACGGGAGGCAGCAGUGGGGAAUAUUGGACAAUGGGCGCAAGCCUGAUCCAGCCAUGCCGCGUGAGUGAUGAAGGCCCUAGGGUUGUAAAGCUCUUUUGUGCGGGAAGAUAAUGACGGUACCGCAAGAAUAAGCCCCGGCUAACUUCGUGCCAGCCGCCGCGGUAA